rnacentral:rRNA from 1 species
GAUGAACGCUAGCGGCAGGCCUAAUACAUGCAAGUCAAGGGGUUCAGCAAUGGACACCGGCGGACGGGUGCGUAACGCGUACACAACGUACCUCAGAGCGGGGGAUAGCAUCGGGAAACUGGUGGUAAUACCCCAUGGUGUUGGAGAAUGGCAUCAUUUUUUCAACUAAAGGUUACACUCUGAGAUCGGUGUGCGUCUGAUUAGCUAGUUGGCGGGGUAACGGCCCACCAAGGCGACGAUCAGUAGGGGGUGUGAGAGCAUGACCCCCCACAUGGGUACUGAGACACGGACCCAACUCCUACGGGAGGCAGCAGUAAGGAAUAUUGGACAAUGGCCGCAAGGCUGAUCCAGCCAUGCCGCGUGCAGGAUGAAGGUGCUCUGCAUUGUAAACUGCUUUUGUUCGGGAAUAAACCCUUUCACGUGUGAGAGGUUGAAUGUACCGAAAGAAUAAGGGACGCUAACUUCGUGCCAGCAGCCGCGGUAAAGUAGUCGU